ACAACGAGUCGCAAGCUCGCGAGAGUAAGCUAAUCUCUUAAAGCCGUUCUCAGUUCGGACUGUAGGCUGCAACUCGCCUACACGAAGUCGGAAUCGCUAGUAAUCGCGGAUCAGCAUGCCGCGGUGAAUACGUCCCCGGGCCUUGUACACACCGCCCGUCACACCAUGGGAGUUUGUAACGCCCAAAGUCGGUGGCCUAACCUUUAUGGAGGGAGCCGCCUAAGGCGGGACAGAUGACUGGGGUGAAGUCGUAACAAGGUACC
rnacentral:rRNA from 1 species